UACGGGGGGAGCAAGCGUUGUUCGGAUUUACUGGGCGUAAAGGGCGCGUAGGCGGCCACCGCCAGUCGAUUGUGAAAUCUCCGGGCUUAACCCGGAAAGGUCACCCGAUACUGCGGGGCUAGAGAGCGGAAGGGGCAACUGGAAUUCUUGGUGUAGCGGUGAAAUGCGUAGAUAUCAAGAGGAACACCUGCGGCGAAGGCGGGUUGCUGGGCCGACACUGACGCUGAUGCGCGAAAGCUAGGGGAGCGAACGGG
rnacentral:rRNA from 1 species